UGGGGAAUAUUGCACAAUGGAGGGAACUCUGAUGCAGCGACGCCGCGUGAGUGAUGAAGGAAUUCGUUUCGUAAAACUCUGUUCUAUGGGAAGAAAAGGACUGUACCAUAGGAGAAAGCUCCGGCUAAAUACGUGCCAGCAGCCGCGGUAAUACGUAUGGAGCGAGCGUUGUCCGGAAUUAUUGGGCGUAAAGGGUGCGCAGGCGGCUUUACAAGUUGGAUGUGAAAUAUUGUGGCUCAACCACAAACGUGCAUCCAAAACUGCAAAGCUUGAGUUAAGGAGGGGUAAGUGGAAUUCCUGGUGGAGCGGUGGAAUGCGUAGAUAUCAGGAGGAAUACCGGUGGCGAAGGCGACUUACUGGACUUAAACUGACGCUCAGGCACGAAAGCGUGGGGAGCAAACAGG
rnacentral:rRNA from 1 species